CCUGCCUCGUGGACCCCUAGCCAAGGCUGCAUAUGAUGAGAAAGUGAGGCUCAGAGAUCAAACAACUUGCUCAAGGCCACACAGCCAGAAAGGAGCAGAGCCAAGAUGGAACCCAGAUCUAUUGCAACCCCAAAGUGCACCUUUGACUACACCCCAUCAUCCAUCGGCAAAGACGGGGGAAUGGGUCCCUCAGCCCUGCACUUCUGGAGCUCCGUAACUGACCCGGACACUCUGGAGAGGACGUCUGACCGUCCUUGGUACCCACGGUGCCCAGCACAACACCUGUCGCAUAAUAGAUGCCCCAUAAAUAGUCGCUUCGACAGCCAGCAACCCGUCUCAUUUUCCUCAGUGGGUCUUGCCUCCUUCGUUUCAUCCUCCAACUCUGAAGCCGGAAUAAGCUUUCAAACACUGCAAAUCUGCUCAUCACUGCUACUUUAGAUUAUCUUAGAGGAUUCCUCCUUGAUUCAAACCUGUUAUCACGGCCUAUAGGACUCUUGAGGAUGCAGCCCCUGCCUACCUUUCUAGCAUCAUCUAGCACUCUCCAUCCCUAUCCUGUGUU